UACCAUAAUUUCACUCGACCCCUUUAAUUGUACUGAGAACUUCUAUAAAAUUAUAGAACUUUUUAUGCUAGAACUAGUAACAAGAGGUAAAACCUCUCUAUAAUGCAAGUAUAAGCCAGCAAGAAUCCGUCACUGUCAACUAACAGACCUAAACAAAAGUAGCAACCUACCCAGAAAACCCUACCUACCUUAACUGUUAACCUAAUACUAGAGCAUUUCAAGAAAGAUUAAAAGAAAGAGAAGGAACUCGGCAAAUAUUAGCCCCGCCUGUUUACCAAAAACAUCGCCUCUUGCUAUUAUAAGAGGUCUAGCCUGCCCAGUGACUUCUGUUCAACGGCCGCGGUAUCCUAACCGUGCGAAGGUAGCGUAAUCACUUGUCUUCUAAAUAGAGACCAGUAUGAAAGGCAUCACGAGGGCUAAACUGUCUCCUCCCCCUAAUCAGUGAACCUAAUCCCCCCGUGAAGAAGCGGGGAUUUUUUUAUAAGACGAGAAGACCCUAUGGAGCUUAAAACAUCACACACCUGCUGCUAUUUUUUAUUUACCCAGGUAUUUCCCCCCCCCCCGGCAGGCUGAUUAAAUGUUUUUGGUUGGGGUGACCGUGGAGAAAAAUUUAUCCUCCACAAUGAAAGGAAUUACUCCUAAACAGCAAGCUACAACUUUAUGUAUCAGCAAACUGACAUCCAUUGACCCAAUAUAUUGAUUAACGAACCAAGUUACCCUAGGGAUAACAGCGCAAUCCACUUUGAGAGCCCCUAUCGACAAGUGGGC
rnacentral:rRNA from 1 species